UACGUAGGGGGCGAGCGUUGUCCGGAAUCAUUGGGCGUAAAGCGCGUGUAGGCGGUCCGGUAAGUCCGCUGUGAAAGCCAGGGGCUCAACCCUUGGAUGCCGGUGGAUACUGUCGGGCUUGAGUACGGAAGAGGCGAGUGGAAUUCCUGGUGUAGCGGUGAAAUGCGCAGAUAUCAGGAGGAACACCAAUUGCGAAGGCAGCUCGCUGGGACGUUACUGACGCUGAGACGCGAAAGCGUGGGGAGCAAACAGG
rnacentral:rRNA from 1 species